UACCCGCAGCACAAGUGGUGGUCAUUAUUAUUGGGCCUAAAGCGUCCGUAGCUGGCGUGUUAGAUGCCUGGGUAAAUCGAUGCGCUCAACGUAUCGAAUUCCGGGUAGACCGGCACGCUCGAGACCGGGAGAGGUGUAGGCUACUCGCGGGGUAGGGGUAAAAUCCUGUAAUCCUGCGGGGAGGAACAGUGGCGAAGGCGCUACACUAGAACGGCUCUGACAGUGAGGGACGAAGCCCUGGGGCGCAAACCGG
rnacentral:rRNA from 1 species